GCCAGCAGCCGCGGUAAUACGGAAGGUCCGGGCGUUAUCCGGAUUUAUUGGGUUUAAAGGGAGCGUAGGCUGGAGAUUAAGUGUGUUGUGAAAUGUAGACGCUCAACGUCUGACUUGCAGCGCAUACUGGUUUCCUUGAGUACGCACAACGUUGGCGGAAUUCGUCGUGUAGCGGUGAAAUGCUUAGAUAUGACGAAGAACUCCGAUUGCGAAGGCAGCUGACGGGAGCGCAACUGACGCUGAAGCUCGAAGGUGCGGGUAUCGAACAGGAUUAGAUACCCUGGUAGUCCGCACAGUAAACGAUGGAUGCCCGUUGUUAGUUCACUUAUGAAUUAGCGACCAAGCGAAAGCAUUAAGCAUCCCACCUGGGGAGUACGCCGGCAACGGUGAAACUCAAAGGAAUUGACGGGGGCCCGCACAAGCGGAGGAACAUGUGGUUUAAUUCGAUGAUACGCGAGGAACCUUACCCGGGCUUGAA
rnacentral:rRNA from 1 species